CAGAGGGGGCAAGCGUUGUUCGGAAUUACUGGGCGUAAAGGGCGCGUAGGCGGCCUUCUAAGUCAGACGUGAAAUCCCCGGGCUCAACCCGGGAACUGCGUCUGAGACUGAAAGGCUUGAAUCCGGGAGAGGGAUGUGGAAUUCCAGGUGUAGCGGUGAAAUGCGUAGAUAUCUGGAGGAACACCGGUGGCGAAGGCGGCAUCCUGGACCGGUAUUGACGCUGAGGCGCGAAAGCCAGGGGAGCAAACGGGAUUAGAUACCCCGGUAGUCCUGGCCCUAAACGAUGAAUGCUUGGUGUGGCGGGUAUCGAUCCCUGCCGUGCCGAAGCUAACGCAUUAAGCAUUCCGCCUGGGGAGUACGGUCGCAAGGCUG
rnacentral:rRNA from 1 species